UUUUAUGAUUUUGUUGAAGUAUUUACUAGCUUUUUAAGUUGGAAAUCUUUGCUCUCUUCUUUUUUUUCAAAGCUGACGACUGAACCCAAGGCCUUGUGCUUGCUAGGCAAGCGCUCAACCACUGAGCUAAAUCUCCAACUUUUUUGCUCUCUUCUAUACCUAUUAUUUUUAGGUUUGAUCUUCUCAUUGUGUCCUGGAUUUUCUGGAUGUUUUGGGUUAGGAGAGUUUUGCAUUUUGCAUUGUCUUUUGACUGUUGUGUCAAUGUUUUCAAUCUGUCUUCUUUUUAUUGAGAUUCUCUUUUCUAUCUCUUGGAUUCUGUUGAUGAUGCUUGCAUCUAUGACUCC
rnacentral:lncRNA from 1 species